rnacentral:rRNA from 1 species
CAGCCGCCACGGGAAUACGUAGGGUGCGAGCGUUAAUCGGAAUUACUGGGCGUAAAGCGAGCGCAGACGGUUACUUAAGCAGGAUGUGAAAUCCCCGGGCUCAACCUGGGAACUGCGUUCUGAACUGGGUGACUAGAGUGUGUCAGAGGGAGGUAGAAUUCCACGUGUAGCAGUGAAAUGCGUAGAGAUGUGGAGGAAUACCGAUGGCGAAGGCAGCCUCCUGGGAUAACACUGACGUUCAUGCUCGAAAGCGUGGGUAGCAAACAGGAUUAGAUACCCCAGUAGUCCCUGUCUCUUAUAC